UCCUCGGCAUCGUGCUGAUCUGCUUUGCGCCUUAUGUGCUGAAUGAGUAUUCGCUCAGCCUGCUGAUCCAGAUCGGCAUCUUCGGCAUCGCCGCGCUCGGCCUCAACAUCGUGGUCGGCUUNNNGAUUUCUAUCGGCCACGCCGCGUUCUUCGGCUUCGGCGCGUUCACCUCAGCCUAUGUGUCGAGCAAGCUGCACGUCCCGGUGUUCUUCGCCAUUCCGCU
rnacentral:misc_RNA from 1 species